rnacentral:tmRNA from 1 species
GGGGGCGUUUUUAGAUUCGAUUGGGCGACUGCGUAAAGACGUAAGCAUACCGAAGGCUCGUCUUCGUUAAAACGGAAAUUAAAUUUAAAUGCUAACAAUAACGAAUUAGCAUUCGCUGCUUAAUUUAAGCGAACGUUCUUUUCUUUCUCGCCCGUUGGAAGGAAAAAGGGCGUCAACUAGACGGGGUACUGCUUUUUAGGUUUGAUUUUGCCUAACUAGCCGAAUUUAGAAAUCAAAGGGUAAUCCUUGGUCGCCAACGACCUAAAUUACCACGAAAAUCAACCGUUGGAUAAGUAUGUAGAAGGUUUUUAUUAAGCGUUCAAGACCGGAGUGCAAGUCUCCGCGUCUCCACCA